CCCUUGUAAAUCAUUCUUUGA
rnacentral:snRNA from 1 species